ACUCCGCCCGAUUCCAAAAGCCCAGGGGGUGGGCCUCGCCCUUCCUCUCCCUCCAGGUUUAAUUAUCUGAAGAGUCUUGGACUUUCAUUUCUUGUUUUUUGCUUGUUUGCUUGUUUGUUUGCACCUGGUUGAUGUAUAAGUCUUGGACUUUGGGAGACCCAAAAGAGAAGGAAGGUGUUGGCAAUAUCCUUGAAGAGACUAAAAGAACUCAGAACAACACUGAACAAGCCAGCAGAGCCAUCAACUCACCCCUACAGUCUCCAUACACAGACUCCAUGAAAGCAUUGGCCAUCAGCUCUCACUGGUUUCUGCCCCAAAUUCACACACUCCCUCCUAUCACCAAAGCCACCCGCCACCGCUGGCCUCCUGCAUGCUGUGGGAGGAGAGGAGGGCAGACAACGUUGCCUCCCCUGACUCCCAUCGCGCGGGCUUCAAACACUCAGUGAGACAACCAUGGACCCUAGGGAUGCAACAGUGAAGGAGACGCAGCCUUUCAACACCUGGCAGGGCAGAGACACUUCAACAGUCAUUGCCAGCCCCAGUGGACAAUGUAAGGAGGCCACCAGCCAAGAAAUGCUGUCAGUGCCUGGAAGCUGGAAAGGCAAUGAAAUGGAUUUUCCCCAGAACCUCCAGGGAGAAUAUGGCACAGCUUCUACCUUGAUUUUCACCCAGUGAGACACAUUUUGGAUUUCUGACCUAAAGAAUUGUAAGGCUGCCUGGAUCCCCAGAGUUUGUCUGGAAAGCCUCUUGAGAUGGGGUUAUGUGCUCCGAGGAUCCCAGGAGGAAGGAUGGGGCAAGAGCAGACAAACCUAUGCCUCUACAGCAGCUGUACCGUUGUCCUGGGAGUGAGCCCCAGCCGUGGCUCAAGGCACACGUGCCUCCAGAGGACAAUCUGGGAUGCUCAGGGGACAGAGAGGCAGAGGGACUAUCAGGGUGAAGCUGUCUUUUUCACUUGUUUGGCACUCAGCCCAGGGCCUGGAUUUAUCCUGCACAAAAUGAACAGUGCAGGGCCCUUCAUCUGGGGAAAG
rnacentral:lncRNA from 1 species